AGAACGAACGCUGGCGGCAGGCUUAACACAUGCAAGUCGAGCGCCCCGCAAGGGGAGCGGCAGACGGGUGAGUAACGCGUGGGAAUCUACCCAACUCUACGGAAUAGCUUCGGGAAACUGGAAUUAAUACCGUAUACGCCCUACGGGGGAAGAUUUAUCGGAGUUGGAUGAGCCCGCGUUGGAUUAGCUAGUUGGUGGGGUAAUGGCCUACCAAGGCGACGAUCCAUAGCUGGUCUGAGAGGAUGAUCAGCCACACUGGGACUGAGACACGGCCCAGACUCCUACGGGAGGCAGCAGUGGGGAAUAUUGGACAAUGGGCGAAAGCCUGAUCCAGCCAUGCCGCGUGAGUGAUGAAGGCCUUAGGGUUGUAAAGCUCUUUCAGUGGGGAAGAUAAUGACGGUACCCACAGAAGAAGCCCCGGCUAACUUCGUGCCAGCAGCCGC
rnacentral:rRNA from 1 species